GCGCCCGUAGCUCAGCUGGAUAGAGCGCUGCCCUCCGAAGGCAGAGGCCAGGGGUUCGAAUCCCUUCGGGCGCGCCA
rnacentral:tRNA from 1 species